GGUCUGACCGAAUAGACAAUUCCCAUUAUAGACUAUAAUUUUAAAACUAGGCAAGUCUGGAGAUGUAAAUAAAUUGCCACUCAAGAUGUAAAUAAUUCUACCACAUUUGGGCCCAAAUGUGGUAGGAUUGUGGUAGGAAUUCCGCACGCAAUACAAAAGUAUACAAAAUUGGCAAACUUUGCAAGGCUAUAUUUUCCGCAUUUUACAACAUUUUGCAACCAAACUUUGUAAUUUUACUAAUUUUAGUAUGCUCGUUCUGCCUGUGGUGAUUUAUUUGCAUCUCCUUGCUUAUUUGUAAAAUUAAUCUAUGAUGGGAAUUGUCUAUUAAAGCCCCUUCUUCAUUAAGCGCAUUUGUUCGUACAAAAAAGGCCAAAAACAAAUUCGGACAAUGUGAUUUCCUAGCGAGAUUAUUUUUCGUUGCGAUUUUUUCGUCUCGUUUCUCGCUAACUAAAUGGCUUUCUGAAAAUGAGCUCAACACUGGAGUGAUCGAAAGUGAUAUUUUUCUGAUUGGCUGCGUAAAACACGAGUAACUAGUUUUUCUAGUAAUAAGGUUUUUAGAAAACAUUUUAUAUAUAUAUACACAUUAUUAUAUUUUAUUGUCACAACUACCAAUCACGAAAUGUGUUCGUACGUCCUAAUCACAGGUGUAAUUUAACCCAGAGAGGACAAGUGAAGUUAUGAUUCGUAUUGAUUGUCCAUUCGGACAACAGGCGGAUUUGCGAGAAAAAAUUUAACAAAUGUCGAUUGCAGCAUUGAAUAGGACAGAGAGUAUUGGUAAUCAGUUUGCGGAAUUUAAAACAAAACGUCAAGUUAGAACCUCCAUCGCAAAACAAUAUUUUGGCUACCCAUGUGUUACCGUCACUUGCUUGGGUAAGUGGGCAAUAACAUCUACUGGCAAGUCAAUUUUAUUCGUUGGGGGGGGGGGAUAGCAAUUUUCCUUCCCUGUAUAACUUGUCUUAAUGGCACGUGAUCGUUAAUAAAGUUAUACCUCUGAUAAUAUAUAUUGGUGAGCCCCAAUGGAAAAUCAAAGGUGACUUGGAGGUUUUAAUUUGAUAACAUUUUUUUGACAGAGUUAACAUUUUGCACUGACCCAAAUUAGCAUUUAUUAAAGUAGCAUUACCAAUUCAACUUUUUUGCAACUUUGCUAUUUUGCACAUUAUCGGGGACUGCUACCGUAGAAUCCCGAAAGUAGCCUCCCCGCCCAUACUUUCAGUUUCAUCGACGCUACGUAUUGCUUUACG